rnacentral:hammerhead_ribozyme from 1 species
AUCCAGCUGACGAGUCCCAAAUAGGACGAAACACGCGUGUUGGAC